CUGGAUUGAUUUUUCUUCUUUUAAACAAAAAAUAUAUCUGUGAAGUAAAAAAUAUUUUUAAAAUAUUCUUCAUGCAAUUGAGGCAAAGUUGUGGAAAGCCUAUUGGGAGUGUCCAGGGUGCAGGACACCAGGACUGGUGGGGAAGAGGAGAGCAUUCUAGAAAUAGAGGUAGGAAAACUGCUGUCAGUCCUGGCUUUGCCCUCAAUGGACUUAAGCAUAGAAAUCUCCAAUAAUCUCCCUGCUCGACUAGCUCUGUGAGGAGUUGGUGAGAUCUGUCAGCAUUUGUGGCCUUAAAUUCAGCAGACUAAGUUCUGUGCAGUUAUGGCUAGAGAUUGUCCACAUUGCUUGCACACCCCAUGGCUUUAACCUCUCGCCAGCCCACUAGCGUGAAUUACUGGAGGGAAGGGGCGCCCCCUACCAACAAAACCCCCUGCUUCUGUCUUCCCAAGUGGCUUCUAUUCAAGGCAAAAUGUUUGGCUUGCUAGGCACUUCGGUCAGGGCCUGUGACUUGGCUGUGCUCAGCAGAAGGGAGGCAGGAAAGCUUGCUUUGAAACUGUAGCAAGCCUUCCAGCUGAUUCAGUUCCAUUCUGGUUAUAAAUAUCAAGGGGAAGCCUUGGCUCCUCUGCCUUGUUUACUGUGGAGGUGUGGGAUGCUCCACUGAAAGGUUUGCUGAUUUGUCAGACUGCCUGAUACUGUUACAGCAUCACAGGCAAAGGGUGCCUGGGCACAGGAGGGACAGCCACCUUCCUGGGGAUGCUGUGGAAGCUAGGACAGGCCCUGUACCCACAGAGAGAGGGCAAGAGAAAUGCUCAGCUCCCAGCCUUGGCACCAAUAAGCUGUGCUCCCUCUUCUUGCAUUUGGCUUUGGUGCCUCAGGCCUGAAAAUAAAAGAUUAGAACAGAUGAUUCCAAAGGCCCCUCCCCCCAACAAUCUUUGUUUCAGGCAUUUGGAGCAUCUACAGAUGCUGGGGAACACUGCAAGCCACGGGUGUCUGAUAAGAAACGGCAUGACUGCUGGGGACGGGUGGAGUUCGUUUUCAGUUUUUUUAAUGGCUCACCCUCGGGCCCUGAAACGUCCUUUCUUAGGAAAUACUAACACAAAUGUUCAAACGUGGAUGUUUGGAACUGUAAAAUAUCCAGAUCAAUGCAGAGGCCCAUUAGUGGCAUGGGGGGGGUAAGAUAAAUAAAUCUAUGGCGCAACUACGAUAAUGACGGUAGAGCCACAUAGACUAAAAAAAAAAAAAUUCAGUAACUACCAGUUAAGGACUCGGUUCGGAUUCCCAGAACCCACAUAAAACCUGGAUGCCAGGGCAUGUGCCUGGAAACUUAGCACAGGAGAGAUGGAGACAGGUGGAUGGUGGGGACUCACUAGCCAGUUAGUCUAACCAAAACUGUGAGCUCCGGGCUCAGUUAGAGACCUAUCUCAAAAACAAACAAACAAAAGAGGGGGGAUAGAGAGCUGACUCAGCAGUUUAGACCACCUGGUGUUCUCGCGGAGGACUUGGGUUCUCUUCCUAGCUCCUGAAUAGUGGCUUAACUCCAUUUAACUGUCCUUAACUCCAGUUCCUGGCAACCUGAUGCCCUCUUCUGGCCUACAAGGGUGCCAGGCACACAUGUGGUGCACAUAGAUACAUGCAAGCAAACACAUAUAUAAAUUAAAAAGAAAUCUUAAGAAGGAAAUUGAAGACAUCCAGAUGUCUACCCUGCUCUACACAUACACACACAAACACACAUACACACACACACACACACACAUGCACACACACAUGCAUCCAAAAUACAACUUCAUGUGAAAAAAGACUAGAUUGUUCAGUAAAAUAAACAUUAUGAUUUAUUAAAUUUCCUAAAAUGAAAUUUAGAUAAAGGUAUUAUGGAAUGUAGUAGAUAGAUCAUCUUUAAUUACACAUUUCUACUUAUAGUUACAAACACAAAGAGCCGAGACGACUCUAGAUCAAACUUUUAACAGGGUUGAAUUUUCAUAGCUCAGCAGGAGAUUGGCUCCUGAGUACCCAACAUGGGGCUGGUGUAACAGACAAGAUAAAGCUUAAUUAACUUAAUUCUAAUUGCUUGAAAUUUCGCAUAAAAUCGGGCACUUGAUUCAGGUUUUGGAAAACUUUCAACCACUUAGGUACAUAGAUUCAGCUUUUCAGCCAGAAUGGCUUUUUGACUGUGCAUUUUAAUGAUUCAAAACAUAGAUGAAGCAUUUCCAACGAGAAGCAUCAAUGAGAAGUAUCUAAGCAUAAACUACACAGCAGAUGCAGACUACAGACAGUAACAAACAACAGUAAUCCCAUGUCUUGUUAAUUUGAUUAGAUAUUGCAAUGAUGAUCUUCAUACAUCAGUCUAAAUAAAAUGUGUGACAUAAGUGAAUGUCACCUAUUUCCUCUUUCUGCUUUAAAUGCCACAUGUGGGCUGGCCUUGCAUGGCUAUUGGACAUCUUGCAUUGUUCAGAACAUCUGGGUGGAGAAGGAGCUGGCCAGGCUUGGAGUUUUUGACUUUGUAGAUUUCUGUAUUGUUUAAUUUUGUUACGGUACACAUGGGUUGCUUUCAUUGUUUACAAAGAACAAAAAAGGGUCUUAAACAAAGUUAAUUUCUAUGACUAUGCUUGUAUAUAUUGUAUGUAUGCGUAUGUGUGGGUGUGCAUGCAUGCACCUCUAUCUGAGGGAAAGCCUGCACAUGUGUGUGCCUACAAGUGAAGUCAGAGGUAUGUUGACCUCCUCAACUGCUUUGAGCCAGAGGCUCUCACUGAACCUAGAGCUUGCUGAUUGGUUAGACUGGCUGCCUCACAAAUCCUAGGGCUCCUCCCGUGUCAACCUGCACAGUGUUGGGAUUGCAGGUGUGUUCCUCGUGUGCCCCGCGUGCCUGACUUUUUACACACGUGUGCCAAAGAUCUAAACUCAGGCCAUCAAGCUUGUAGAGCUGGCAUCUGACUGAGCCAUCUCCCAAGACCCUCUAAAAUAUGUCUGGAUGUAUCAAGGAAACUGUGAGACUCUCCCCCUGAUUCAUUUCUGUGAUACUGUUGUCAGCGCCUGAAAUAAAUGUUUUCCCAUUAGGUGACAAUAAAACUUGCCCGGUGUCUCUCUGAUUUACCAGCAGUUUCUAAUCACCUGACCCCCUUUUAUUUUUUUAUUACUGCUAUCAUUAACAAGGUACCCCUGCUUGACAACCAUCCCAGCUGGAUUAGCAAGGAAUUGUUUUUCAGGGAGUAGGAGGUAAGCCCAGGAGAGAUGCGAAAAGGGAGAAAAAAAAAAGAUAAAUAAUCCUUAAAGAAAUCUCUCUUCUUUUUUUCCAAUUUCCUCCUUAACCCGUAUCAAGAUUCCCCAAAGCUUUGGGGUCUGUAGUUUUAGGCUGAACUUCCUACCUUAUUAAUUGACAAGGCCAGGGUUUGAACCUUUCCCCCAUAGACAUGUCUGUGUUACACAUAAAGAUGUCUGUGUUACACAUCAACAUGCUAUGGUUCUAACAAUAUCACUUUCAAAGGAGCACUAAUCCGCUGAAGUCACCCAGUCAGGAAACAUUUGCUUGGCCGUGUCUUGUGUCUGAUCUGUGUGUGUAGAAAGAAGACAAUUGGGAGGGAGGAAAGAAGGAAGGAUGAAGACAGAGUAAAUGCACUUUUCUCCAGGGUUGGGUGUGGGGGACUGUGCCACAUAUCCCAGGCUGGUCUCCGAUUUGCUAAGGCUGAGGAUGACCUUGAACUUCUGAUCCUCCUGCCUCCACCUCCUGAGCACGAGGGUUACAAGCAUGAACUACCGCGCCUGGUUUAUGCAGAGCUGGGACAGGAUCAGGGACUGUACAAGCUGGACAGGCAUUCUACCCACAGAGCUCAUCCCCAGCCUACAACUGUGAGUUUGCAAGUUUGGACUUCUCAAAUACCAAACUAAUCCUCCGGUUCAUCUUUGCUGUGCCAUCAGCUUUUGCAUUAUCUACCCUCUGUUUAAAAAGCAAGUUGCAACCUUUCUAUACAAACUUAGAGAAGGUUAGGGGAGAAGUGGUUGGGUUUGAAUGGAUGUGGGGUGACUGGAGCUCUCCAACACAUUAGGACAUGGCUGUCUGCGUGUCCCCCAGACGGCGUGGGACGCAUCAUAACCCCAUCUCCAUGCAUCAGAUUUCUCUGCUUUUGUCUUCCUUACUAGGCUAAAGGGUCCAGCAAGUCAGUUAAGGCCAGCCAAUAGCAGGCUCGGUGAAAAUGCAUUGAUUACUCAGUGAAAGAGUGAGUGAGGAAACGACUGGACUGGUCAUCGUCUACAGCCGUGAUGAAGUUAGAGUUCAUCUUAGAGAAUGAGAUUAAGUGUAGGUGUGUAUGUGAAUCCAGGUGUUCAUAGAGACCAGCGACCUUGGAUCUCUUGGAGCUGGAGUUACAGACAGCUGUGAGUUGCUUGAAGUGGAUGCUAGGAACUGAACUCGGGUCCUCUAGAAGAGCAGCAAGUUCCCGCAACUGCUGAGCCUUCUCUCCAGUCCUGCCAUCAAGUUUUAUAAGCUAAACUCGAGUCCACAAAAGUUAUAAAUUACGAAGACAGUUCUGUUACCAUAUCACAACCAUGUGACCUUGACCAGGAAUUAAGUUUUCCUCCUUGAUUGUUUAUGAAAUAUAGGCUUCAUGUAAUACAAUGUAAGAAAUUCAGGAAAGAAGAAAAUGUGACGUCACCACUGACAAUAUUUUGAUAUUCACUCAUUCAUCCAUUGUUUUCUUCAGAGUCUAACUUUGUAGCUCAGGCUGGCCUUGAAGUUGUAGCAAUCCUACUGCCUCAGCUUUCUGAGUGCUGGAACUGCAGGUGAAUGGCACCAUGCCCCUCUCCACUGAUAAUAUUUAAAGAAUCUUCUUGCUCAAUAUCUUGAAAAGAAAAGAAAUGAGGUUGAAUUCUACAUGACAAUUAGUAAGCUGUUCUUAAUUCGGUAGAUGUAGUCACCUUUCUACGGCAAUUUGUAUCAAGUUUUUAUAUGGGUGGUCACAAAUGCAGUUAGUCAAUGCUCUAUUGAUGGUUAUUUUGGUUGUGACUUUUCACUGUAUAGUUAACUUUGUGGAAUUUUUACAUACCUGUAAAGGAAUCCAGGGGACUUGCUCCAUUCUUCAAUAUCUAACAUGUAACAAUGGUUCUUACUUGGUAAUUAAAAGUAAGAUUGUCUUCAUAAACAUGUGGCCACAAAACAUGAGUAAUGUUCCAUGGGAUUCAAACAUGAGAUAUAAAUACAAAAUACAAAAACUUAUCGAAUCAAAUAUGGAAUUGUUCCUUAGCUUUAUAAAAGAAUUUGUGUCAAGUUUCACUUAUUAUCCAGGCUGUGUAGGAGGUGGGGAGACGUGUCUGUGGAUUCUUAAUGCCCCAUGAUUGACUAAUGACUGACUGACUGAUUGAUUGAUUUUAAUUUUUAGUUUAUUUACAGGAAUUGAAUCCCAUGGACUUUCACAUAUGCAGUCCUCCACUGAGCUACGUCCCCAGUCCCACUAAUGCUGUCAUUUCUAAACUAACCUACUGACCAGGCAUUCUUAGGACCCAUGCCUGUGAUUCCCGCACUCAGGAAGUCUCUUUUACAACUAGUUAGUUUAUUCAACUCUCUUCAGCCAAGUCUUGUGACCCACAGCCUCUUUACCAUUGACCUCAAGGCUGGCACAUGUUGACAUCUGGACCUUUUAGGUCCAGGUCUCCUACUACUCCACAUCUGCUGCUGAAGUAAAGGUGCUUCUUUAGAUGGGUCCUGACUUGGGAUUCACAGGAUCUGUAUCCACGCAGCUCAUCCAGGACUCAUAAGCCAGGUGGAAUGAAUGGUCUGGAGACACUAGCGCCAUAUCUACCCAAGCAUCAGAGCAAAACCAGUGGCUUCUUACUCACAGGCUUGGCCAUCCUUAGAUAGCAGGUACUAACUGUCGUCCCCAAAGCCACUUUUCUGAAGCUUGUCUUUUGAGACAUGAACUCCACCUUGCGUGUCUCUCUCCUCCAUGUUUGUGCCCAAGCCCAGCAUAUUACAGCAGAGGGAACAGAACCUGUUUCUGACAACCAUGCCUCUCUCUCUCCCCGCUGGCACAGGUGAACCAUGCUGGCUGCCUGCGACCUGCUGACUCAUCACAUUUGCCUCCCACUCAAGUCACUGAGCGACACUGUCAGGCACGCUUGUCCUUCUCACAAGUGGAAACAUAGUCAGAAGAGGAGGCUCAGAGAGUUUCGGAAUCCAUUCUGAGGUCAUGCCACUGUGUGUAACAGUUUCUGUGAGACUGAAACAUCCUAUCCUACAGGGAAGCUCCUUGAACAGGAAGGUAAACAAUUCAAAACAGCUUCAGGAAGUCCCUGAGACGGACCAGAUUCACAAGGUUUCCGUGCCAGAGUAGUGGAAUGUCCCUCUGAGACAAACUGAGCUGCAGAGAAGACUGAGGCCAGCCCAGCUGCCUGUAGGAAGCAGAAAUCAGCAGAGCUGCCUGGAAGAAGUUUAGCCCAGAGUAACCUGGAAAAGACAUUCUUCAACCUGCUGAGCUGCCUGAGCUGCCUGCAGGCUGUGCAGUGCGCUCCAGGGGCCCAGCUUUGUGAGCAGUCGCCAGGCUGGGGCGGGCUUUGGUGAUGCAGUUGUCUGUGAGUCAUUUCUGCUCCUGUAGUAACUUUUAACCCAUACUUCUAUAAGUAGUCCCAAUAAAACUCAUUGUUUGA